GCCCGGCCGAGCGGACCUCCACCACCGCCGCCGCCGCCGCCUCGGCAGCUCCAGCCGCCCCCGCCGCCAUGCUGCAGCCGCCAGUCAGGAGCAGUCGAGCGCUGGCGGCUCGAUGGGGUGGGGCGGGGCCAGAGCGCCUGCGCGCGGGGAAGCCCCGCCUCUCCCAUCGAGGCCCCGCCCCACCGGAGACCCGGAAACCUGGCGCGGGGCGGGGUUGUGCCGCCAGCUUCUGAACUUUCCUCGCACUUCCUGUAACCUUAGAGACCAAGCCCGGGGCUGUGAUAGCGAGAAGUGUCUGAAGUGAGUGCGAGUGAAGGUGGGUUACAGCACUGGCAAGCCGGAAUCGAUCAGCAAGGGAAUUGCAUCAAGAGUUGUCCAGCUGGGGCUGUGUGAGUGUUGUCCCACCGUGAACGGACACGUGGAGCCCCGCAGGCGGGAGCCACAGGACUGGGUGCUCUCAGCACCCUCCCCAUCCAGCCCUGGAGUCCCCUGGCAGUGUGAGCAGCUGAUCUAACCAAAGCUGGGGCAGAUCAGAGAGGUGGGAAACAAGGAAACGCCCCUGGAAGAUGUGAACACCUUUGGACUUGCUUCAUACUGGAGGGACUCCUCAACAGAAGGGGCUUCAAACACAUCCCUACUUGGGAUUUAAAUGGCAGGGAAUGCAUUUUCUGUGAAACCAUGGCUGGCUCUGUUUCUUCUUCUAAGGCAAAACAAAAAAGAAAGGAAAAGCAAGCCACUGAAUGUCACGGGCCACACAGGCCCCACGAUCCCAGAAUCUGUCUAAACAUAUAAACCAUUUAUACGUUCACACCAGCUGCAAUGACUGAGAAAUGAAUAAGAGGAGACAAUAAUGGGGAGUCAGUCAUCUUCCUGGGAUGAGGCAGAUGGGUUGGACCCCAAAACAGGUGUCCCUUUUCUCCAUGGAGCUAAAAGACAGAGCCGUGCUCAGCCCUCUCUGGCUGAAUCUGCAGAGACAGGACAGUGACAACUCUGCCAGCCAGAGCCCAUCAGAAGUCUGGCUGUGAGCAGGUGGCAAUCCUGGGGGCUGCUGGUAGGAGGCAAAGGGCUGCCUGCAGCCUCGGGGGUCUUCAGUGGCCUGCUAACCAACCGAGCCCUCUGGGUGGGAGCCCCAUUUUCUUAACCACUAUUUUAUUCCUAUUGUCACAAACUCUUCAGCCUUCUCUGAGACUGCUGGACACCAAAGCGAGGUUGUCAUGAAUGUGGUGGAGAUCUUUAUUUUCUAGUUCCCAUACACACUAUAUCAUCACAUCAUAGUGACACUAGAGGAGACCAGACUCCCUCUUGGGGGGAGAUUCACAGAUGUAUUCCUGGCCACAGAGUUCUCUCUCCUCUUGAAUCAGGUUAUUAUAUCAUUCCUUACCCAGAGCUGAGUUCUUAUUGGCCAUAACUGUAUUUACCCUACAGAAACAUGUCCUUUUAUGACAGGUAUAAAUAUUAAAUAACAAUGCUCUGGAAUGAAUACUUGGUCACUCAGAGAGCUGGAUGAAUUCCAAAUGAAUCCCAAGUCCUAAUCUUUCCUUAAGUAAAAUGUUCCAUUUUAAAAGAUGGCCAUAAACAUCUUCAGCACUAUUUAGCAAUCCCUUUGGAAGGGGCUGAUCUCUUACUUACUGGAGGAUGUGGUAUGUGAGUUUGCCUGUCUUUGCUUUUGUUUUAUAAUUUCAAAUAGUCAGGAAAUAUUGCAUUCACUGGCAAUCAAUUUAUUUUGAUUGAUAAAAAGGGGUUAAUAAAAACUCCCUUAGAAAUAAAAAGAAGGUGAAUAGUAAUAUAUCUUUCAUGGUGCCUUCUUUCAGCUGUGCAUAAAGAGAACAAGCUUUUUACUUCUCCCCAAUAAGUCUUCUCCUCUUAUUUUCUAUACCUAGUGAGUCAUUUAUAAUCCUUAUUAUUUCCAACCCACACACUAAUGCAGCAUCAGUCAUAUUUCCACAUGCUGUGUUUUUUCCUCCUUACUAUGUUCUGAAAGCUGAAAGGGAAAAACACCCUCUAAUUUAUAUGAAAAUGCAUACCAAAAAUGGAUUACCAAACAUAACCAAUGUGACUUCAGACACUUGAAAAUAAAGAAAUUUAGGAUGAAAUAUAAAACAUCAUGCUGAAGUUUCAAUCUAUUGUUAAAACAAAGUCUAACAGAAAGUACACUGCUGUGUGGCAUUUAGCAAACAUUACCAGGCUAUUAGAAGCAGAAAUAGAUUAAAAUGAGAUACAAUUAAUGAGUUUCAUUCAAAUGUGAAGCUAUUGAUUUUAGAAGGCAUAUUUGAGAGUAUUAAUGUUUUUAUUUAUCUACAGAACCUAUGAAAAAAUGCAAAAUGAGAGAUUGUAAAAUCCUUGCCUACUAUAUGUAGCAAGUGUUUACAGUUACUUUACGGGUUGGAUGUAGACACAUACAUUAUAUGGUAUCAUAUAAAUCUCUAAUUUGCAUGAGUCACAAAGUCUUUCAAUAUUAAAUUCCUGUUUUGGGUCAUCUUUACAGAGUACACUUAAAAAUUUUAUUCCACAAAGGUAUUUACGGAAGUCGAAAAACAGUGGGUUGUUAUUUUAUUAUUAUUUUUUUCCUCAAUAAAGCAUGCUAGAUUAUUAUAAGGCUUGCAUGUAGAACAAUCUGUACUGAGUCUUGCCAUUAAAAAAAAAAAAUACAGCCUAAGCUAAAAUGACAUUGGAACAAACCCUUGACCUUCACUAACACAAGCAUGUGGCUGACCUAAGGAGAACAUCCUUCUGAUCUAAUCCUCUUGGGAUAGAAAAACCAGACUGUCCAUAGUGAGAGAACAGUGCUAAAGCCCUCACAGAAGGUGAGAGACAAGGGGCAGCAAAGCUUAGGACCCCUGGAGACAAGCCAACCAGCCAUUCUUUGGCAAUACUGACUUGCAAA